CGCGUAGGUGGUAGUGUAAGUCUGAGGUGGAAUCCUGCGGCUUAACCGCAGAACUGCCUUGGAAACUGCAUUACUUGAGUCAGUGAGGGGAGGGUAGAAUUCCCGGUGUAGCGGUGAAAUGCGUAGAUAUCGGGAGGAAGGCCUGUGGCGAAGGCGGCCCUCUGGCGCUGGACUGACACUGAGGCGCGAAAGCGUGGGUAGCAAACAGGAUUAGAUACCCUGGUAGUCCACGCCCUAAACGGUGGGUACUAGGUGUAGGGCUCGUAAGGGUUCUGUGCCGAAGGGAAACCAUUAAGUACCCCGCCUGGGGAGUACGGCCGCAAGGUUGAA
rnacentral:rRNA from 1 species